rnacentral:ribozyme from 11 species
CUCGUGCAGACUCUUUUGUAUCGUCUUUUUUUUUUGCUGUCUGCAUACACAUGUUUUGUGUGGUUUGGCCGAAAGGAGAAAGAACUGAAACAUCGACAGGUGUAACUUAAAGAAAAAAAG